UGGUGGGCAGGCAGUAGGUUGGGUCGAUCGAUACUGAUUGGAUUUAUGGAAUUAAAAAGAGCGUCACAUUUUCCAUCCAAACUGUGUAAGCCCUUUAUGACGACGACGAGGGCAUUAAUGCCUCUGCUUCUUAAUCCACGAUUUAUCCCGUAUAAUAAAAUAAUCACAUUUGUCCUCGUUGCUAAUAACUUGGAGGAGAACACGCCUUGAGUCCAAUACCGAUCACGACAUGUGGGCUGAGAUGAUGAUGAUGACGAUUUGUGUAAGCGGAUCAGGAAAAAAAAUGAAUGAAACAACGGGCGACUUAUGAGAAGAAUUGGAUUUAAGCGGACAGAAACAGUAGCAAAAAUUGUGCAAUAUUUAAUAAUGCCGGAUUCAGGAUGAGAUUGUAAAACUGUUGUUGUUCCGGCAGAAAAUGUUGACGUAGGAAAAUAAACAAACAGAAAAGGAAUGAAUAAUUUACGAAAUUUUGAGGAAAAUUGAAAGAACAUUUUAAUUUGUCUGAUCAAAAGUCAAUUUGACAUUCCUUUAUGAAAACGCCUCCAAUACAUACGUCGAUACUGAAUUCAAAUAAUUAUAAUUGCGGUUGACAUGAUUGUCGAACCAAUUGAACUUUUCAUAUCUUUCAGGACAGGAUCAAUCUUCUUCUGGCUGCUGGAACGGAUAAUUAUGUGACGACGCCAAAUCACGAGAAUCGAUCCCAAUAAAUCCAGUCUCAUUAAAGAAGAUUAUGACUUUAAAGAAUAAAGGAGACCAGUCCAAUCUCUAUAUUUCGGUAGCCAUCGUCUUAAUAACAACACAUCGUUAAUCAAAUAAAUAAUAACUUUAUAAAAU